rnacentral:rRNA from 1 species
AGAGGAAGUAAAAGUCGUAACAAGGUUUCCGUAGGUGAACCUGCGGAAGGAUCAUUACCGAGUGUAGGGUUCCUAGCGAGCCCAACCUCCCACCCGUGUUUACUGUACCUUAGUUGCUUCGGCGGGCCCGCCAUUCAUGGCCGCCGGGGGCUCUCAGCCCCGGGCCCGCGCCCGCCGGAGACACCACGAACUCUGUCUGAUCUAGUGAAGUCUGAGUUGAUUGUAUCGCAAUCAGUUAAAACUUUCAACAAUGGAUCUCUUGGUUCCGGCAUCGAUGAAGAACGCAGCGAAAUGCGAUAACUAGUGUGAAUUGCAGAAUUCCGUGAAUCAUCGAGUCUUUGAACGCACAUUGCGCCCCCUGGUAUUCCGGGGGGCAUGCCUGUCCGAGCGUCAUUGCUGCCCAUCAAGCACGGCUUGUGUGUUGGGUCGUCGUCCCCUCUCCGGGGGGGACGGGCCCCAAAGGCAGCGGCGGCACCGCGUCCGAUCCUCGAGCGUAUGGGGCUUUGUCACCCGCUCUGUAGGCCCGGCCGGCGCUUGCCGAACGCAAAUCAAUCUUUUUCCAGGUUGACCUCGGAUCAGGUAGGGAUACC